rnacentral:rRNA from 1 species
AUUGAACGCUGGCGGCAUGCUUUACACAUGCAAGUCGAACGGUAACAGGGUGCUUGCACCGCUGACGAGUGGCGAACGGGUGAGUAAUGCGUCGGAACGUGCCGAGUAGUGGGGGAUAACGCAGCGAAAGUUGUGCUAAUACCGCAUACGUACUGAGGUAGAAAGUGGGGGACCUUCGGGCCUCACGCUAUUCGAGCGGCCGACGUCUGAUUAGCUAGUAGGUGAGGUAAAGGCUCACCUAGGCGACGAUCAGUAGCGGGUCUGAGAGGAUGAUCCGCCACACUGGGACUGAGGCACGGCCCAGACUCCUACGGGAGGCAGCAGUGGGGAAUUUUGGACAAUGGGCGAAAGCCUGAUCCAGCAUGCCGCGUGUCUGAAGAAGGCCUUCGGGUUGUAAAGGACUUUUGUCAGGGAGGAAAUCCCUAGCGUUAAUACCGCUGGGGGAUGACAGUACCUGAAGAAUAAGCACCGGCUAACUACGUGCCAGCCGCCGCCGUAACAC